rnacentral:rRNA from 2 species
AACGUAGGAGGCAAGCGUUAUCCGGAUUUAUUGGGCGUAAAGCGCGUGCAGGCCGCUUGGAAAGUUGGAUGUGAAAGCUCCUGGCUUAACUGGGAGAGGUCGUUCAAAACUACCAAGCUAGAGAAUGGGAGAGGGAAGUGGAAUUCCGGGUGUAGUGGUGAAAUGCGUAGAUAUCCGGAGGAACACCAGUGGCGAAAGCGGCUUCCUAGACCAUUUCUGACGCUCAGACGCGAAAGCUAGGGGAGCGAACGGG